GAUGAACGCUGGCGGCGUGCCUAAUACAUGCAAGUCGAGCGAACAGAUAAGGAGCUUGCUCCUUUGACGUUAGCGGCGGACGGGUGAGUAACACGUGGGUAACCUACCUAUAAGACUGGGAUAACUUCGGGAAACCGGAGCUAAUACCGGAUAACAUUUGGAACCGCAUGGUUCUAAAGUGAAAGAUGGUUUUGCUAUCACUUAUAGAUGGACCCGCGCCGGAUUAGCUAGUUGGUAAGGUAACGGCUUACCAAGGCAACGAUACGUAGCCGACCUGAGAGGGUGAUCGGCCACACUGGAACUGAGACACGGUCCAGACUCCUACGGGAGGCAGCAGUAGGGAAUCUUCCGCAAUGGGCGAAAGCCUGACGGAGCAACGCCGCGUGAGUGAUGAAGGGUUUCGGCUCGUAAAACUCUGUUAUUAGGGAAGAACAAAUGUGUAAGUAACUGUGCACGUCUUGACGGUACCUAAUCAGAAAGCCACGGCUAACUACGUG
rnacentral:rRNA from 1 species